rnacentral:rRNA from 1 species
CGCAGUGACUGCGGAUGACAUUA